rnacentral:lncRNA from 1 species
GUAAAAGUAAAAGCAGUCUGAAAAUUUCUGAGCUUUUACCAAAAUCCCAGCUGGAGGUGUCUCUAACUUUAGUUGUAGUUUUGGGUUUUCUGUUUUUCCUGAUGAAAAGAAAAGCCAUCAUUAACCAUUUCAAACUGCGAAAAUCCCAACAACAAAGACGAGUCUCUGCUGUAUAAGUAUAAGAAGAUUCCACAACUGCAAGUCUCUGUGUGUGUGUGUGUGUGUAUGUGUAUUUAAUUCCUAUCCAACUUUAACGAUGCACACGAGCACAUCUCUUGUUAGAUGGACCAUCAACGUUUAGGUGUACAUGUAUAAGUGUUGUAAACAAUAUUAUUUUUACACAUCACCCAAUCAUAUACCAAAAUCAAAGAUAUUUAGUUCCGGAAUUCAACUUUUAAGUUGAUAAGCUUUAACUGAGGCUGCUGUAGGAAAAUAAAAAUUAUUUUUUAUUUAUUUUGUAUGCUGUAUUUGGUAAUUGGUAAUAUGAGGUGAGAUAAACAGAUUUGGGUUUAGUUUUUAUGACCCGCAAACAUGCAACCACCAACCCGUUUAUUAUACGGGUUGUGUUCGGGUUUGUAAAUAAUUUCACAGGUUGAUCCAGGAACUUGCUAAUUUUAUCCGAUAAAAAAAAUAAAAACUAUAUUUAUUAAAAAGAGAAAGUAAACAAUGAUAAGUAAAUAUGUGAUAUUUAGACUUUUUUUUUUGUGAUUAAUAAACCUGAAUUUGACUUAUGAAUCCGUGAAUUCCUAUAAUUAAACGGGUUGAUUUGCUUAUGGCUAAUUCGGGUUAAUACGACACAAAUAUUUAUAUAAGUCGUUUUCAGGUUGAGUUUGUAUAACUCACCAAGGCACCAAUCGAUAUGAUUGCCACCUCUCUUGUUAAUUGGUAACAAACAUUUUGACCAUUUAAGAUGGUGAAAUAAGUUGCCAAAUGUGAGUUUUCCACGUCUUGAUCUAUUGUUUAAUAUCAUAUUCCUUUUAUACUCUUAGUCAUAUUUUUAAUUUUAAAACUUUGCUAUAAAAUAUACAUUGCUAUUUUUAUUGCUGUUAUUGCUAUUUUAAAGAUAGUUUUAUUGUAUAAGCAAGAAUUUUGUAUAAUAUAAAAUAUAAAAAAGUAUUCUAAGAAACAAAAUAGUUAAAUACCUUCUGAAAUCGAAGAAUAAUCACUACAACAAUUUGGAGAAACAUAUGGAGAAAUGAUGAUUUAAACAUCUAGAAAUAGAUAAAAAAAAAAUACUAGAAGUUUUUCUAAGCAUAA